GAUACCAGCGCCUCGGAAACUGAGACAACCUCCCACUUCAUCCACAGUCUACCCGGAGUCCUAGGCUUGCAGGAAGGGCUAGUUGCCCUCUGAAGUAGCUGAAAUGCCUCAUCCAUCCUAGCUCCCUCAUCACUGAUGAUUACACCCUCAUCCCUUUGGAUGGAGCAUUAUAACUUGAAGGAGGGAUUCGGCUUCCUUGAUCACGGGG